rnacentral:rRNA from 1 species
AAAUUGAAGAGUUUGAUCAUGGCUCAGAUUGAACGCUGGCGGCAGGCCUAACACAUGCAAGUCGAGCGGUAGCACAGAGAGCUUGCUCUCGGGUGACGAGCGGCGGACGGGUGAGUAAUGUCUGGGAAACUGCCUGAUGGAGGGGGAUAACUACUGGAAACGGUAGCUAAUACCGCAUAAUGUCGCAAGACCAAAGUGGGGGACCUUCGGGCCUCAUGCCAUCAGAUGUGCCCAGAUGGGAUUAGCUAGUAGGUGAGGUAACGGCUCACCUAGGCGACGAUCCCUAGCUGGUCUGAGAGGAUGACCAGCCACACUGGAACUGAGACACGGUCCAGACUCCUACGGGAGGC